GCUUACGGCAAUACCACCCUGUCUGUGCCUGAUCUCGUCUGAUCUCAGAAGCUAAGCAGGGUCGGGCCUGGUUAGUACUUGGAUGGGAGUCAAGCUGGGAAUACCAGGUGCUGUAAGCU
ensembl:rRNA 5S_rRNA 5S ribosomal RNA